AUCGAAGUACUCACAGGACUGUUAUGAAACUGCGAAUGGCUCAUUAAAUCAGUUAUCGUUUAUUUGAUUGUACCUUUACUACUUGGAUAACCGUGGUAAUUCUAGAGCUAAUACAUGCGGAAAGUCCCGACUUCUGGAAGGGAUGUAUUUAUUAGAUUCAAAACCAAUGCGGGUUCUGCCCGGUCAUUUGGUGAUUCGAGUUUUAGGACGCGCAGAUCGCGGUUACGCUGUCGCGACCUUUGUGCGACCUCGCGUUUUGACUUCCUUAUCUCGGAGACCAUGACAAGAUAAAGUGUAGCUACAAGGAGCCAUGGUAUGAACAUAAACAGAACAACCAUGACCACCACGUGGACGGUAGCGCUGGUAUAAUGAUCAAGCGGCGCCCAGACUGUUAGACACUUUGU
rnacentral:ncRNA from 1 species